rnacentral:tRNA from 1 species
AGAAGUUUAGGUUUACUAAACCAAAGGCCUUCAAAGCCUUAAACAAAAGUGAAAUUCUUUUAACUUCUG